GACUACCAAUCGUCCGGGUCAACGUUACCACAAUAGCCGUCGGCGGACAAGAACCAUCCGGCCGCUUUCGGGAGCAGGUGCUUCUCCCUGGCUUGAAGUCAGUGGUGAAUGGAUGUCCAGUAAACGCUGUGAUUGAUACAGGAUCCGCCGCUACAUUGUCAGAGGAUUUUGCCGACCGCCUACCUAAGGAGCUGGAAAAGGAAACCUCUGACCAAGGCCCGAAGUCAAUUGGUGCCAACGGACAACCACCGCCGCCCGAGACGAGGAGGACACCGCUCGGGUAUUUGACAGUGCUCCGCCAGUUGGCGUGAUGGAAAGGCGAACCCUGCAUUUCCGCCAUCCACCCCAGCUGUUUGGGAGUCCUGUGUGGCACGAGUAAGUGACUUCAGUGGUUUUGACUGGAUUAGUUGUGUUCGAUACUACAGUUAGUUUUGGAACAAUUUUGGUUAGGACUCCAAUUUGACCUGCACUCGUUUAGUCUAAAUUGUUACCCAUAAUCUUAGUCUAAUUUAUUAAGUUACUUAUAACACGAGGACAUGUUCUUUUCCGUGUAAGCGGGGGAUAUGUCGUAUCCAUACUAUUGACACGUGCCUUUUAGGCCUCUACGUGACAAAUCUGCCUUAUUUAGGUGUCUAAUUAUUUAUUUAUCUCCCGUAAACUGGUUCCUAAUCACCUUUAUUUUAUGUCUUAACACAAAGCCUGGCGCCUUCCUUAGUUGUUAUACCCUGUUUUUUCCUUAGCUGGCUUCCGCUCUUUGUGAUACUGUUUAUACACAUUAUUGCUGAGUUUUGGUACACUGCGGCAUGCGGUUGUACUAUGGUUCGUUAAUUGUCCUAUAGUUCGUACGGGGGGGAUCAGCCUCCUGCCCGUAGUUAGAUAUUAUGGCAAUCGGCUUUCUCUCUCUCUAUUUCUCUCUCUCUGUCUGUCUGUCUGUCUGUCUUUCUGUCUGUCUGUCUGUCUGUCUGUCUGUCUGUCUGUCUGUCUGUCUGUCUGUCUCUCUCUCUCUCUCUCUCUUGCCUUCCGCCUACAGGCGGAAGCUUCGGCUUUCGUCUCUCUUGCCUUGUGCUCUCAUAUCAUCUCUUGAACUAAGUUACCUUCGUUGAAGAUGUGAGUAAACCUGAA